rnacentral:rRNA from 1 species
CAGCAGCCGCGGGAAUACGUAGGUGGCAAGCGUUGUCCGGAAUUAUUGGGCGUAAAGGGCUCGCAGGCGGUUUCUUAAGUCUGAUGUGAAAGCCCCCGGCUCAACCGGGGAGGGUCAUUGGAAACUGGGAAACUUGAGCGCAGAAGAGGAGAGUGGAAUUCCACGUGUAGCGGUGAAAUGCGUAGAGAUGUGGAGGAACACCAGUGGCGAAGGCGACUCUCUGGUCUGUAACUGACGCUGAGGAGCGAAAGCGUGGGGAGCGAACAGGAUUAGAUACCCCCGUAGUCCCUGUCUCUUAUAC